rnacentral:lncRNA from 1 species
CACAUUUUCCAUCAAGGCUUAUGCAGUGGGAAAUAAAUUCCCUUAACUUAAGGGGGUGGGGAGGGGGGAGGGGGACGCGGUAAAUACUGGGCAGUAAAAGAGGGGAAAAAAGGGAUAAAUAGCCAUUGCUGUUAUUUAACCUGAAGGAAAUGGUGAUCUGAGCACAUGCCAUCCAUCCAGUUCUUCAGCCAUUCCAAAAAGCACUUCUUAUAUGGAUUAGGAAGUUCAGCGCUGACGUUCAAUCACAGGCGCUAUAAUCACCUGGAGCCCUGAGUCUCAAAAUGUUCCCCAGAGAGCCGGAGGGCCUCAUGGAAGCGUCCGGGCGAUGGGCAAGCCAGGGGCCUCUGCUCCUUCUCGCCCUGCUGACUAGGAGGCAGGAAUCCUGACUGUUUACAUCUGUGGGGUCCACCGAGGACCACAUCUGACUAAAAGCCCCCAUGGACAAUCUUGGAAAGAGAGGGAUAACAUGAAAUGUCUAUUACUGCCUCGUUGAAGAUACCAUGUUCUCUGUAAGAACACAGUUUUGAAAGUCAAAUACAGAUGACGAGGUGCACACUGACCAUUCAGAAGCAGAGUCGGUCCCGUGUUUCACUGCAGCGACUCAGGGCGUGAGUGAGGACAUUCUCUCCAUUUCAUCCACUGACCAGGGGUAAAGGUCAGCGGUUGCAGCAACAGGAGCUUCAAGGUGCUUCUAUUGACGUCACCUCAUUGUUCCUCACAACAAGUCUGAGACGUCUAGAUAGAUGUGAUCGUUACUUCACUUCAGGUGAAGACGCUGAAAGUCAAAGAUAAACUCAGACCAACUCAAACUGUGUAGGUAGAAAAUGUCAGAGCUGAGCGUGGAACCCUGGUCUUCAACCUGUUUCAGGAGGGAAACACUCUGAGUAGACUCAGGCGCAGCUGCCUGGCCCUGGAGGAAUUGUGUACAUGGGACCCUGGGAGCUAUGGGUGGUGGAGGGGUGGGCGAGGACCAUCCCUAGGCCCACCAGCUGGCAGCUUUUGCAGGACAUGGGGGCUCACCCUUUGCCUGGCUCUUGCCUCUACUGCUAGAGUGUUUCAAGCACAAGGAUAGUAAGACUGAGAUCAAACUUUUAGAUGAGGCAGCAAAAAGGCAGAAAGUUUGCAAACACAGAAGCCUUAAUCAAAUUGACGCAUUGUGGGCAGGAACCAGGUCUCUCAGUCUGAAGGGUGUGCCAAGGGUCCAGGUCACAGACUGGAGCAGGACGGUCAACUAAAGUCAGGGAGAGCCCCUGGCGGGCUGGGUUGCCUGUUGUUAUUCCACUGACCUCCAUCCUUGUUCCCUGUAGAGUUCCAUCAUACACGACUCUCCACGGGAAGCUCAUGUUCCCCAGUAAUCCCCAAACUCGGAUGGCUUAUUCCAGACUCCAAGCCCUGCUCAUUCUCUUCCCAUUCCCUUCACUUAUCCAGAGCCCAACCAUCUAUGAAAUGAUGUGAAUAUGGAACUGCUCUUUCCCUUCUGCUUUUGGAAUAGUCUGCCAAGGGUGAAAUCUUUGUGAUAGGUGAUGCUGAAGCCCCCAAAUUCCAUUACUAGGUCCUACAAAACCCAGGUCCUGCUACGAGAAUGUGAAAUCUGUUCUGCCCAUCACCCUCCUCCUAUCUACAGAGAAGUGGAGUUGAAGUGAGGAGGAGGGAGAAUUCCUUUGGAGUACCUUCCAGAUGUGGAGGAGAGAACAGCAGCACAGGGCACCUCUCUGCAAAUGCCAAAGGUCUCCAAAAGGCCACUUUGAGGGACGAUGAAUUUGCUCUUGUAGACAUCCUCUGGUGUCUAAUUCAUAGUGUUUAUUGAAAAAAGUUUUCAGGAAAGAAAUGAAAAAGGAAACAGACG